rnacentral:pre_miRNA from 1 species
AAUUUCAGCUAAAAAAGUCAUGAACAUAAAAGUUGUAGAACUCAUCAAGACGUACAACUUUUGUUUUGGUCAUUUCUUCAUCUGACAAAGUGAUACUAACAUUGUUUAUAAAAUUUACGUAUCUCUCUUAUAAUUUAUAGAACCAGAUGAGAAAUAUGUAAAUUUUAUAAAUAAUGUUACUAUUAUUUUGUCGGAUGAAGAAAUGACCAAAAUAAAAGUUAUAAAUCUUGAUGAGUUAUACAACUUUGUUUUUAUGACUUUUUCAAUUGAAAUC